rnacentral:rRNA from 1 species
CUUUGUCAAUACCGCAAACCAACUCAUUAUGGAAUGAGGGGACGGCGAGGCCUUGUUCUCACGGAGCGGCCGAUGGCAGAUUAGGUAGUUGGUGGGAUAAAAGCUUACCAAGCCGACGAUCUGUAGCUGGUCUGACAGGACGACCGACCACACUGGGACUGACACACGGCCCACACUCCUACCGAAGGCAGCAGUGGGGAAUUUUGAAUGAUGGGCGCAAGCCUGAUCCAUCCAUGCCCCGUGCGUGAUGAAGGCCUUCCGUUUGUAAACUGCUUUUGUUCGGAACGAACCAGCUCUUUCUAAUAAAGAGGGCUAAUGACGGUCCCGUAAGAUUAAUCACCGGCUAACUACUUGCCAGCAGCCGCGGUAAUACGUACGGAGCUAGCGUUAAUCGGAAUUACUGGGCGUAAAUCGUGCGCAGGCAGUGAUGUAAGACAGAUGUGAAAUCCGCUUGCUCUCCCUGGGAACUGCAUUUGUGACUGCAUCGCUGGAGUGCGGCCAGGGGGAUGGAAUUCCUGCGUGUAACAGUGAAAUGCAUACAUAUGCCGAGGAACACCGAUGGCGAAUGCAAUCACCCUGGGCCUGCACUGACGCUCAUGCACGACAGCGUGAGGAGCCAAGGGGAUUAGAUACCCUGGCAGUCCACGCUCUAUGCGAUGUCCACUGCUUGUUGUGUCUGCACUGACUCACUCACUAAGCUCACCGCGUGGAGGUAGACCGCCUGGGGGAGUACAGACUCAAGUUUGAUGAUCGAAG